UAAUUCAGUUAUGAUAACUGCUUCCUUAACAAUAUUUUCCUCCAAAACCCAUCCUUAUCCACACUCUCAACUACUUAUUCCUCUUCCUCCUAUAAUAUGUAACAGUUGCGUGUUUUGCAGGUUGGCUGUCAGUAUCUCUGCCUACAGCUUUAUAAUAUGUUCUGUAGCCUAUAUGAAAAUGGUGUUUGCAUUGAGCUUUUUAUCAAUUUAAAUGAUUAUUAGAAUCAUGAACUUAUAGUGGCCAUACAUUUGUUUUUUUCUAACACAAGGGUUCCUGAGAUAUAAUUCAGGGCUUGCUAACUGUUUUGUAUAUCCUUGGCAUGGUAGUUGUGUAGUUCGAAUUUUG
rnacentral:misc_RNA from 1 species